rnacentral:rRNA from 1 species
AUGAACGCUGGCGGCGUGCCUAAUACAUGCAAGUCGAGCGAACAGAUAAGGAGCUUGCUCCUUUGACGUUAGCGGCGGACGGGUGAGUAACACGUGGGUAACCUACCUAUAAGACUGGGAUAACUUCGGGAAACCGGAGCCAAUACCGGAUAAUAUUUCGAACCGCAUGGUUCGAUAGUGGAAGAUGGUUUUGCUAUCACUUAUAGAUGGACCCGCGCCGUAUUAGCUAGUUGGUAAGGUAACGGCUUACCAAGGCGACGAUACGUAGCCGACCUGAGAGGGUGAUCGGCCACACUGGAACUGAGACACGGUCCAGACUCCUACGGGAGGCAGCAGUAGGGAAUCUUCCGCAAUGGGCGAAAGCCUGACGGAGCAACGCCGCGUGAGUGAUGAAGGUCUUCGGAUCGUAAAACUCUGUUAUUAGGGAAGAACAUACGUGUAAGUAACUGUGCACGUCUUGACGGUACCUAAUCAGAAAGCCACGGCUAACUACGUG